GAGUUUGAUCAUGGCUCAGAUUGAGCGCUGGCGGCAUGCCUUACACAUGCAAGUCGAACGGCAGCACGGGAGCUUGCUCCUGGUGGCGAGUGGCGAACGGGUGAGUAAUGCAUCGGAACGUAUCCUGGAGUGGGGGAUAACGUAGCGAAAGUUACGCUAAUACCGCAUAUUCUGUGAGCAGGAAAGCGGGGGACCUUCGGGCCUCGCGCUCUUGGAGCGGCCGAUGUCGGAUUAGCUAGUUGGUGAGGUAAAGGCUCACCAAGGCGACGAUCCGUAGCAGGUCUGAGAGGAUGAUCUGCCACACUGGAACUGAGACACGGUCCAGACUCCUACGGGAGGCAGCAGUGGGGAAUUUUGGACAAUGGGGGCAACCCUGAUCCAGCCAUGCCGCGUGAGUGAAGAAGGCCUCGG
rnacentral:rRNA from 1 species